GAGCUCUAUGGUACUGACAGCGAUAUAGUGUCAUGUAUUUUACCAGCGGGGAGCUCCGGAGACACUAACAUUCUCAGUGAAGAACUGAAAACACAUCUGUUGCCUUUGAAAAGCCAAAUCCUUGUUUCAUUCCAUUGUCAUCUUUCUGGAUUUGCACCGCCAGCAGUUUGGUAGGGUUCGGUGACUUGCUCAAGGGCACAUCGAUAGUCACUCAAGCCAAGACCCUACCGACUGAGCUACUGCUGCCCCUGGCACACAGUUACAACGUUAAGUAGAGAUUAACCAUGGAAGACUGAAAAAUGGGCCACACUUAAAGAGCACCAGUGAGAGAGGCAUAAAGAGAGACUGGGGGAUACAAAGUGAGGACAGCAGGUGGUUGGGGCAGCAGGACUUGAUCGUUUUUUUCUAAUCUUGACCCUAUUUUCCCACGUUGGAAGUGACUGAUUGGGACAACAUUUUUUUUAUUUGGUCCAGUAGCCUAUUAAGUGAGAAUAAAUGUAAUCAUAUUAGGCAAUACUUCAUCAUUGUAUAUCCACACAAAGUGCUUGUGUUUGCCAUAAAUGCUCAGACCUUAUGGAGCCUUAGGAGCCUAUCGAGAAAUUGAAUAUGUUUCUUUCCCUUUUGAUUGUUCCGGUCUGUUUGUUAUCAUUCAUGGAUGACUUGUUGCCGGAAGACGCCGGAAACAUGGGUGAUAAUUCGAGGGCUGCGGGAACAAGUUAUACAUGACACAAAAACAAACCAGAUCAGAUGAAGCGAAAAUUUAAGAACAAUGUUUUAUACUUUUGUAGAGUCCUUUCCAUAAUGUUUUCGGACAUUUUUGCUCAAUAAGGGGACAAUUUCAAAAAAAUGUUGUUCCCAUCAGUCAAACACAUGGGAAACAGAAUAUAGGUUGAAAAAUAGCGAAGUUUCCCUUUAAGUAAGGAUUUGAUCGUUCCAUUUCUGUGUUGCUGUGAACUGUAUUCUCUCCUCUCUUUCUUUCUGUGGUCACAAUCCUUUCUUUUUUGAAAGUGCUGAUCUCAUUUAAUUGUCAAAUUAUGCAUACAGUAGAUGAAAAAUAGACAUCAGCCUGAGAGCCAAUGACGAGUCUAAUGAGUCACUUGUGGGGAUAACAAAAUAAAAGGUGGCAGGGUUAAUAAUAUGGAAGCCUAUAUCGCAAAUGCCCUCUGACGUGUCACUCUGUUUCACUCUUUGUAAUGUAAUCUUUUCAACACUCUCUAUUUUUUUCCCCCCACCACACACACACACACACACACACAUACACACACACACAUACACAAGCUAAACCUCUCCUUUGUACUGUAGCAAUCAAAGGUACUAGACUGAGGGAAUAACAUCUUCAAAGGAGCAGGAGCCCGAGUCUGAACCCAAAUCCUCAUUCAUUCUGUUUGCUCUGAAGGAGUUCACCAUGUACUAUUCUUGCUCGAUGCUGCAAACUGCAAACAUACACACACUCAAAUACAGCCAAUGUACAAACACACAAGUCUGGCUUUGGAAAAUAAAAAUAAGAGUUCAAAGCUAAAGAUCCAAAAUGCCUGACACAUACAGUGUGUGACUAGGGUUCCUCCCUGUUCCCUCAUUGUCCAUUUCAGUACAGUCAAACCAAUAAGGUGAAUUCUCUUUCCAAAAGGAAAGAGAGUGGCAGAGAAAAGAAAAACACACUUAACGCCAAGGUCACGUAACGCACCUCACAGUCAGUGUGUGUGUCUGUAUUUCGUGACUGUCUCUCCCUUACCCCGUGCCCCAAAUUUUAUUUCAGAGGAUUAUGGAGCAUCUUUAUAUUGACAGACUCAAAAACAGUCACACAUAUUGACAGUAAACUUUUCAUCUUUCUGUCUCCUCCCCCCCAAUCCCUUCCACCUCUUUUUCUCUGCCGGUGUUGGAAAUGUGGCCUUGAGGGCAGGGAUUAUUCAUAAAGUUAGACGUAUCUACUCUAGCGAAAGCAAAGCAGAUAAGCUACUAUAUUAUGCAGCUUACUGCUGCAGUUACUUUGCAAUGCAACUUGAAGUUAGACGCAUUCAUUCUUCUUCGAGAUACUUCCUAAAAAAAAUAUGUUCUAUAAUAUUUGACAUAGGGUAUAUGUACAAUCUCAGCUCACCCUUGCAAAAGGGAUCAGGAUUCGAAUAAGACUUACAGAAUAAAUAAAGCUUAAAAACAAGAAAGGGCAUUCUCACUAUAUUAUGUUACGUGUAUACUCAGAGGAUCGUAAUAGCUUUAGUGAUUCACUGACUUUUUCCUGUUAACUAUUUUAGCGUAGCCAACAUGCUAAUCCUGAAUGAAUUCCAAUGACUUUGGUGAUUCAGCAGUUCAAGGUUUUUACUUAUCUUAGGAAAUAUCUUAACAUUGUAACAAUUGUAAUACCCCAUCUGACCUUUUAUGCAACCAUCACCAAGUGAACAUGUUACCAUGUCACCACAUUGCUUCAGUACAUAGCAUGGCUGUAGACUCUUAGUCCUUGAAUUCCACUUCUUUUAUUCCAGACAUAGUUAUAGAAGAUAUUAGAUAAAAGAACAUUUGUUCAUCAGUAGAUUAAUACGAAUGAACAUAAGCUCCCCACUAGUGCUCUCUCAGGGAAAAUCAGCUUGUGUCGCAAAUAAUAGAAGUAAAUUCUAUUCAUUAAUUUGUUUGUUUCUCUCAUAGACUUUGUAACCUCUCUGCCUUUCUCAGACCUUAUAUUUGGUGUGGUGGUGGUACUUUAAUCUCUGAAAAUCUCUCUCUGGGCCAUUACUUGUUAAUGGUAUUAAUAGCAGAUCUAGCGCUUUAGGCCACAAUAUGGAUUCAUUAGAGGGUGAAUAAAGACUAUUAUCCCGGGCAAAGUAAAACUUUCUAAGUUUAACCGAGCACAUCUCUGCCUCCCUUUAUCUAUGAGGGUGUGCAUGUGUGUGUGUUCAGUAACCAAGUUAAUGGGGGGAGACGAAGGCGGCCCGAAGUUAGAAUGAGGGUUGUUAUGUUACUGUACCAUAUGGGGGGUGCCAUGCUGAAUGGCAACAAAACUAUUGGGGUAUGUCUGUUCCAUUAGCAACUAAUUGCAGUGUUUUUAAACUUCGGCACAUUCUGUCCAGAUGUUCUUAUUGGGUUUUGUGUAACUUUCUUCCAUUUUUUUCCUUCGCAUUAAACAAUGUCUUGGUUUUUGCACUUAACACCAAGAUUCAGUACCAAGUGAAUUUGGACUUGAGACUGCACUGAUGUCAAAGCGUCGUCUGAGGAUCCAACAACACCAGGGGCAAUAUGUGAUCGAUAUAAGGAGGGUAAAUAUCCUGAGCAUAAAUAUACUCUAGUCUAUAGGGUUAGGGCUGUUGGCAGCAUGUGGUCCUCUCAGUGUAACACACUUACACUGUUUAUGCACAUCGCUUCUGGUAAGCAGAGAGUGCAACUGGGACUUCUUCUUGGGUAAGAACAAUAUUAUAUUUCAAUAUUUUCAAUGUAUUUUCCAUAAGCAAAACUUCCACGUUCAAUAUGUUUUCUACAACCAAGCAGAUUGGAGUGAAAUAGAGAAGGGAGCAAACUAACGUGCACUACCUCAGAGAUUGGAAACAAAGAUAAGAUGUGUAAAACAAAUCAGGCAUACAAUUGCAUUAUCUGGAACAAUUGAAUUGACACAAGCCGAAUACUGCUUUGCUUUGACUUGCUUCUCUGCGAAUCUCUCGGUAUAACUCUCUUACUCUCUGUGUUUAUUACCGAAUUGAUAUGACUGCGAACACCUAAUUAUAAGUAUGACGCUUUCCCUUUUACUAAUUAGAUCAUAAUAAUGUCAUUGUUCUGUUGCACAAAAAGCUUGACCAAUAACAAUAUUACUACAAGAUUCUGGUGGCAAGACUGGAAAGCGGAAGUAUAAAUAGUUUCAAUACAACACGGCUGAGAGUUGAUGAUGUAUUUUGGUCCUAAGGGGACAUGUACACAAAUAUCCUUGUAGGAUCAACUGUCAAUCACAGGGCUCCGAUUUCAUAUAUGUGUCAGCGUGUGUAAGUGUGUGUGUGUGUGUGUGUGUGUGUGUGCGUGUGCGUGUGUGUCUGUAUGUGUUUUCUUAAGUAAAUGUAAGUUGUCAUGCCUGCUGGAAUCCCCACAAUCAGGUAACAUAUCUGCCUAUAAAUGCACCUUUUUAAUGGUGUGUGUCUCUGCAUUUGUGUGACUGCACUUUCUCUCCUACAGCGUUCCUAUGAACACACACAGAGAGCCUUGGUUUCUGAUGAAAACAUGGCAGCCUGCAUGAACCACUGGGAAAUUGUGCUGGAAUAAUUACACAGGUCAACGUCAGGGUAAAGUUGGAACCGACAUGCCACGUUCAGCGAGUCCAGAAGGCUGAGCCCUGUGUCCGGCUGCUGGGAGGCGAGGAGCUUCCAGACGGACUCUUCAGGAGCUGCUGGACGAGAUGCCGGCUCAUGUCUCCUGUCCUCGGACUCCAGAGGACGUCAUUCAUGCUGCUGAGGUCCAGCGGCUGUGGAGACGUCCUCCUCCAUGUUGUCUGUUCUUUGGUUUUGUUUCAAUGUUCUCCAUCCAGUUAGGAGUUUGGUAUAAAAGCAUCAUUUCAUAUAC